rnacentral:rRNA from 1 species
GACGAACGCUGGCGGCGUGCCUAAUACAUGCAAGUCGAACGCAGUGGGGACGGGUGAGUAACACGUGGGUAACCUCCCAUCAGAGGGGAUAACACUUGGAAACAGGUGCUAAACCGAUACUGAUGGAUGGACCCGCGGUGCAUUAGCUAGUUGGUGAGGUAACGGCUCACCAAGGCCACGAUGCAUAGCCGACCUGAGAGGGUGAUCAGCCACACUGGAACUGAGACACGGCCCAGACUCCUACGGGAGGCAGCAGUGGGGAAUAUUGGGCAAUGGACGAAAGUCUGACCCAGCCACGCCGCGUGAAUGAAGAAGGUUUUCGGAUCGUAAAACUCUGUUGUUGGGGAGGCGUUAUCUAACGAGGAAGCAACGGCUAACUACGUGCCAGCAGCCGCGGUAAUAC